rnacentral:tRNA from 1 species
GCCGAUGUGGCUCAGUGGUAGAGCAGCUGAUUCGUAACCAGCAGGUCACGGGUUCAAAUCCCGUCAUCGGCU